ACGCUCGACACCUACGGGGGCAGCAGUGGGGAAUAUUGCACAAUGGGGGAAACCCUGAUGCAGCGACGCCGCGUGAGCGAAGAAGUAUUUCGGUAUGUAAAGCUCUAUCAGCAGGGAAGAAACUGACGGUACCUGACUAAGAAGCACCGGCUAAAUACGUGCCAGCAGCCACGGUAAUCUGAGCGGGCUGGCAAGGC
rnacentral:rRNA from 1 species